AACGAACGCUGGCGGCAUGCCUAACACAUGCAAGUCGAACGAGACCUUCGGGCCUAGUGGCGCACGGGUGCGUAACGCGUGGGAACCUGCACUUAGGUUCGGAAUAACUCCCUGAAAGGUGUGCUAAUACCGGAUAAUGUCUUCGGACCAAAGAUUUAUCGCCUUUGGAUGGGCCCUCGUUGGAUUAGCUAGUUGGUAGGGUAAAAGCCUACCAAGGCGACGAUCCAUAGCUGGUCUGAGAGGAUGAUCAGCCACACUGGGACUGAGACACGGCCCAGACUCCUACGGGAGGCAGCAGUGGGGAAUAUUGUACAAUGGGCGAAAGCCUGAUCCAGCAAUGCCGCGUGAGUGAUGAAGGCCUUAGGGUUGUAAAGCUCUUUUACCCGGGAUGAUAAUGACAGUACCGGGAGAAUAAGCUCCGGCUAACUCCGUG
rnacentral:rRNA from 1 species